rnacentral:pre_miRNA from 1 species
ACGAACGGCUAUGCACUGCACAACCCUAGGAGAGGGUGCCAUUCACAUAGACUAUAAUUGAAUGGCGCCACUAGGGUUGUGCAGUGCACAACCUAUAC